ensembl:lncRNA
GCCCCAGCCCACCACUUCAGAAAACAGGUCUCCCAGUUGCUCCAUCAACAAACCAGAGCCUGCUUCUCCAGAGAAGACCUCACCACGUGGAGACUCUAAGCCUGAACCUGUCCCUCGUCUCAGAGCUACAUCCUCCUCAGGUUCUUCCGGAGGACCAGUGAGCCCUAAACCCCCGGUGCCACAGGGAGCAAAGCCUGCCCUGGCUGCUCGGCCCACCAUCCCACAGAAGCCAAGGACCACCAGUACCAGUAGGAGCAUAGAUGAAAGUUCAGACUCCCCCAGCAGUGGCAGCGUGUCUCCUAAAAUCACACUUCUCCCUCCCACACUGAAGAGAGCACUAUCAGAGAAAGACAAGGAAGGGCAGACCACCACCAACAAAACCCUGCAUGAAGUGAGGUCGGCGUCAGAGUCUGUUCAGCGAUCCAGCACCAACUCUGAGGAUCGUGGCUCCUUCAAGGCCAAGGACCAAAGUCCUAACCCACACAAGGAGAAGGCAGCAGGCAAGAAGUCAUCAGAUUCUGGGGAGGAGGCAGAUAAAGACUUUAUUUUAAUAUGAGUAAGCAAGCAACAAAUCUCACUUUUCCCUUUAGAAGAGCAACUAAGGGGGAAAAAUGAUUAUUAUGAUUUCAUUUAUAUUAGAUUUGUGUACCUGUAGGUCCUGUCUGACCACUAAGUACAAAUCAGGUUUGGUUUGCAGGAACACCUGCGGAAAUACACUAUUUUAAUUUGAUCAAGUGUGAUGACACUGUUGAGGGAUAUUAACCAUUUAUGUCACCUCUUAAAACAAACUGUGCUAAAUCUUAGAGAGCUUCCUUCUCCUCACAAACAGCCUUUUCUCUACCGACUUUGGUCUUACUCUCUGCUGUCAGGUGAAAAUCUCAUGUCUCUCAUGUCAUGAAUACAAUCUCGGGGUUCAAGGCGAUCGCAGGUAUUCAACCAAUAAAUGAAACCUAAAUUUCAAAUGAGACAUGACACUUCCAGGAAACAUCAGAGAGGCUGUGAAACUACUAAUCUAAUGUCUUUUUACUGUUUGUUGUCAUAGCUCAUCUCCCAGGGACCAAACACACAACUCUACAAAAAUAACUGUACUUUACUUGAAGUCAAACAUAAACCAGACCAGGACCCAGUGCUAUUUUUCUCUUCAAUAUAUUUGUAUAGAUUUUACUACCGCAUAUGCUAUUUUCAGUAUCUGCUAUGUGAUUUCCAGACUUCAGAGGUAACAAAUCCAUUAUGCAAUUCAUAGUUUUUUUUUUUUACAGGAAUAAACAGGUUUCAGCUGAGGAUUUCAGCACAGACAAACAUCUGAAAUAUACAUUUGAUGUAGCUCCUAUUACAGUAAUAAUGAUUUACUCUCACGGCAUGCAUUCAACUCAUCAAUUCAGAUUACACCAACUAAACUCUAGUUAGACUGUGUGAGAGCUGGAACGACCAGAUGACGUGUUUGUGGUACACUUCACUGAUAAUCAAUAUGGCUUCAGCACUGUUAUCUAACACUGUGGGAAAGAAAUGCGUGUAUGGGAAGAGGGGUUUGUGUAUCUUUGAAGUGCAAUACAGUUUGCGAUUGUAGUAGCUUAGUCUCAUUUGGUUGAGUUGGUUAAAUAUUCUGAGGAACACAUGAGAUUAAGCUAAUUUAAAUGUAUCAAGUCUGAAUUGCACUCAUAGGACUGGUGCGUUGGGAUUUAGAGCUAUUAUUGAAUCACCUGCAACUAUACACCAAUGUUUACAUUAGCUUAGUAUGAGCUAACAUGGGUAGCACAGGGGACUGUUUGCACUGUUUGACUCCAACCUCACUACUAGAUGCCACUAAAUCUCACACACUGGUCCUUUAAAGACAGACAGGUCCUCACUUCCCACAACACACUGUUGUCAUACAUUUGCCUGGUGAGCUCAUUGUCCAGUGAAAGCAAACAGAGGAUGGUUAUUAUCAAAUUUCCAUUUUGAUAAUAAUAAUAUUUGAUAUUAAUUAUCAGUUUGUGCUUUGCUUAAAAAAGGACACUGAAGGAACUCCAGGCUUCAAUAUUUAAAUUUAGUUCACUUUCCAUUCAGGAUGGGGCAUUUCCAUGGCAUUGACUGUGUGUUUCAAUCGUAGUGGAAUCUUAUUUCCUAGACAGUAUGCAGUGCCUGGAUUGAAAGUGAUCUGAGGGGAGCUGUCUGUUACCCACAUGGACCUCUGGGCUGCUCUGUGUAAACAACUUUCAGGCCCUUAUGCUUCAAAAUAUCAACACAGUUCUCAGGCCAAUUCCUCUGUUUAUGUUCUUAUGUUAUUAAUAGCAAGAAAUGCCCUUUUCACACAGCUGAACUGCAUUCUCAAAAUAAUGUCACAUUUAAAAUCAUACGUUCAUUAACAAACACAGUAAAAAUCAUAACGGUGACACUAUGUCUACUGUUUGUCGUAUUACGCUGCAUUCAAGUCAUAGUGUAGUCAUCCUGUUUUUUUGUGCCAAAAUAACCUCCAGCGUUAAUUCUUCAAUGUGCACUAGACGUUGGGUCCUUAUGUGCAGUGUGAAAGGGGCACAGCUUGUGUUUUAUUGUACAAGAGUCUAAUUCAAGUCAGGGCCAAAGGUCUUACUGGUGCACCUUUCCUACACGAUGGUGUCUAUUAAUGUCUUUGUAGGGCUAUGAUUAGAUUUCGUUUCUGUCACUAAUCAUGGAUAACACGUUUCCUGCUGUAUAUACUCAGUCUGUCCCUGAUGUCAACAACUGCAACAUCACUUUUUUGUCUCAAAGAUGUUCCAGAACACUGAAAAAAAGAAUAUGCGACUACUUUGCAAUAUGUUUGAAGCCAACACACAGGACUGCGUUCUGUUGGUAGUUUGAACCACUUUUCUGAUGCAAGGAUAAACGAUCUUUAAACUCUCUUCUGUUGCACUCAACAGUGUGUGUUUCUGUUGCAUUGUGUGAAAGUCUGACAAGAAAAAAAUGAGCAUCCACUUCAUUUCUGUUGGUGCAUGGAGUGGAAAAAAAUAACCAGUAGCAUUAAGUCUACGUGUGUGUGACUGCAUGAUGCGUGAGUUGUACUGUAUGUAUAUAUGUGUGCUUUCAUACAUGUAGGUGUGUGUAUGUACUAUUCACACACCUAUGUGAAGAUGGCAAAUCCUAUAUUGUUUUGGUACUAAGUACACUACUCUACUAGGGGUUUGUUUGUAACUUAUUUGGAAUAAAAAAAAAAAGAAGCAAAUGACAGCCGGUGAUGUCUUGAUCCUUUGUUGAUUUACCACUCACUUGUACAUUGUGUUCAUAAAUG